rnacentral:tmRNA from 1 species
GGGGAUGUAAUGGUUUCGACAUUGCACCAGAAAAAUAGAUAGCAAGUAGUGGAUUCUCGUUGGCCACUUUAAAAACGAGAAAAUAAAAUAAACGCUGAUAAACAAGAAUUAGCAUACGCUGCCUAAGUUGCAGUGUCAUCUUACUAAAUAGCCUACUGGUUUAGAUAAGGUGCCGAAUAAAGUAGGAAACGAAACUAUUUUUUCUUUAGAAAUAGUGGGUAAUUUAUAAAGAUAUAUUUAUUUUUAGCCUGUUUGUCGGCGAAAAGUAAAUGAAUUUAAAAGACAAAAUAAACUUGUAGAAGUCUAUUUGGAAAGUGUUAUGGACAGGAGUUCGACUCUCCUCAUCUCCACCA